UACGGAGGCGGCUAGCGUUGUUCGGAAUUACUGGGCGUAAAGCGCACGUAGGCGGAUCAGUCAGUCAGGGGUGAAAUCCCGGGGCUCAACCCCGGAACUGCCUUUGAUACUGCUGGUCUGGAGGUCGAGAGAGGUGAGUGGAAUUCCGAGUGUAGAGGUGAAAUUCGUAGAUAUUCGGAGGAACACCAGUGGCGAAGGCGGCUCACUGGCUCGAUUCUGACGCUGAGGUGCGAAAGCGUGGGGAGCAAACAGG
rnacentral:rRNA from 1 species